UACCACUUCUCAAACCUUAUCUAAAGCGUACCAAUCACAACAUCUUCGCUUUCCCUGUCAUCUUCCUUACUGAAUCCGUCUCAAUACAUAUCUAUCAAACUUAUUUCUUCUAAUUAUCUCCUUUGGAAGUCCCAAUUGUUGCCUCUUCUUAGUGGGUAUAACCUGUCCCAACACAUCUCCACCACCUCUGUUCCUUUGUCUCCAAUACUUUGAUGACAACACCACCUCGAAUCCUACUUAUCAGAUUUGCUACCAUUAGGAUUAGCUAGUUCUUAGCUAGAUCUUCUCGUCAUAUCUGAGACUAUCCUCCCUCAGGUCAUUGGAUUGACAACAGCAAAAGAAGCUUGGAAUAAGCUUGCUGCCAUUUUUGCUAUUGGAAGUCGCACCCAAAUUUUACAGCUUUGUAAACAGCUCAAAAGGUUGGCUAAAGGUACUGAUUGUAUUGAUGUCUUCAUGAAACGUGCAAGGACUAUUGCUGAUCAAUUAUCAGUGCUUCAGCCACCAAUCUUUGAAGAGUCGUCGGUGAAUGACAUUCUGGAAGGGUUAGGUCCAGAAUUUCGACCAUUUAUUCGGGCUAUUCAGGCCAGAAAUGCGCCUAUUGAGUUUGCUGAUUCGUUUGCACUCUUGCUGAGCGAGGAAGCUUAAAUGAAAAUGGAAUCUAUCUCGAUUUACUCUUCAGUUCCGCCUUCUGCCCAUGUUGUUACUCGUACGCCCUCAAAUGCACGGAAUCCUGGACAAGGCCGUGGUCACUCUUUCGUGAAUCAUUCUACAAAUGAUACAUGUUUGUCUCAAUGUGACAUGUCAUAAUUGCUGUGGCCAAGGACAUUUAGCAUGCUAUUGUCCAUCCCUGAAGAUUAAACACAAUUCAAGCCAAAAUAUCUGAUCCUCUCAGCCCACUAUCUAUCUAGCCUCAACUGACAAUUCCUCGAUGGAGGAAUGGACUGUGGAUUCGGAAGCCAACUUCCAUCUCACAUCCAAUAAUGAUAAUCUCGCAAAUUCCACACCAUAUCAUGGAAUUGAUGAAGCCGUUAUAGGCAAUGCAUAUUCACUCGAAGCAAGUGUUGUACACCGGUCGGAGUAAUGGUGGUCUCUACACCGUGCCUCUUCAAAUGUCUAAAGUUCAACCUGAAGUCAACUCAGUGGAAUUUAGAACUUGGCAUGCCCGUCUUGGUUAUGCUAAUACUCAAUUGUUCGUUAAUUUUUUAAUUCUCAUGAUAUUUCUCAUUCUAAAAAUAAUUUGUUUAAUAGUCCAUGUCAUUUGUGUAGUGUUAGUAAGAUGCAUAAACUUCUGUAUAUUGAUUCUCAUUCAGUUGUUAAUAAACCACUUGAGUUGAUGUGUUCUGAUGCA